UACGUAGGGUGCAAGCGUUAAUCGGAAUUACUGGGCGUAAAGCGUGCGCAGGCGGUUUUGUAAGUCUGAUGUGAAAUCCCCGGGCUCAACCUGGGAAUUGCAUUGGAGACUGCAAGGCUAGAAUCUGGCAGAGGGGGGUAGAAUUCCACGUGUAGCAGUGAAAUGCGUAGAGAUGUGGAGGAACACCGAUGGCGAAGGCAGCCCCCUGGGUCAAG
rnacentral:rRNA from 1 species